rnacentral:rRNA from 1 species
CGCAGGCGGUUUCUUAAGUCUGAUGUGAAAGCCCCCGGCUCAACCGGGGAGGGUCAUUGGAAACUGGGAAACUUGAGUGCAGAAGAGGAGAGUGGAAUUCCACGUGUAGCGGUGAAAUGCUAAGAGAUGUGGAGGAACACCAGUGGCGAAGGCGACUCUCUGGUCUGUAACUGACGCUGAGGAGCGAAAGCGUGGGGAGCGAACAGGAUUAGAUACCCUGGUAGUCCACGCCGUAAACGAUGAGUGCUAAGUGUUAGGGGGUUUCCGCCCCUUAGUGCUGCAGCUAACGCAUUAAGCACUCCGCCUGGGGAGUACGGUCGCAAGACUGAAACUCAAAGGAAUUGACGGGGGCCCGCACAAGCGGUGGAGCAUGUGGUUUAAUUCGAAGCAACGCGAAGAACCUUACCAGGUCUUGACAUCCUCUGACAACCCUAGAGAUAGGGCUUUCCCUUCGGGGACAGAGUGACAGGUGGUGCAUGGUUGUCGUCAGCUCGUGUCGUGAGAUGUUGGGUUAAGUCCCGCAACGAGCGCAACCCUUGAUCUUAGUUGCCAGCAUUCAGUUGGGCACUCUAAGGUGACUGCCGGUGACAAACCGGAGGAAGGUGGGGAUGACGUCAAAUCAUCAUGCCCCUUAUGACCUGGGCUACACACGUGCUACAAUGGACAGAACAAAGGGCUGCAAGACCGCAAGGUUUAGCCAAUCCCAUAAAUCUGUUCUCAGUUCGGAUCGCAGUCUGCAACUCGACUGCGUGAAGCUGGAAUCGCUAG